CUUGACAAGAGAUCCGAAAUUCUUUGGCUUUCUUUUCGUUUCCUAAAGCUAAAGAGACGACUAGGGACAAGUCAGUCCUUGAAUUGCUUCACCGAUUUUCUGUGAAUUCUGCCCGCUGACGUCAAGACACUAUUUGAACGUAAUUCAACAAGAAUUCCUGUUUUUAAGCAAGUCAACAGCCUUGCACCUAACCUUCUAAAUUAGUUAGUAAUAUACUAAUUUGUAUUUAUUUCUAUCAAGAGUGUGUUUAUCCGAGCCCCAUAUGAAGGGUUAGCCCUGCGAACCUUAGCUGAUUUUCACGGCCCAGUGUGCACCUGAGAUGAACCAGCCUCUUGCCGGGUCUGGUUCAUAUCCACAAACUUACAGCUAAAGGCUGAUUUCUCUUUGAUGGAAAUCUGCCUUAAUUUAUUUUUUCUUGUGAGGUCCAAAAUCAUAUUUUGUGUUGCAGAUUUUCGAAUAAUAACCAACAAACAAUUUAAUAUUGUUCUCGGGCUAAAUGUUUGAAUCGAAAAGCUGAGUUUGACGCAAAUAAGGCGGGUUUUAUACUCAGCCCUCCUAGGAAGGGAUGACCAGCCCACCCUGUCACGUUCAUUUUAGGAAAUUUCCAGCAAUACUACUACGCCACAUCUCGGGGUAGUCAAUAGCAAGAUCUCGCCUAGGGAGCUGGCCCCCUUUCAUAUAUUAACGAAAACAUUUUUCUAGGGAAUCCAAUUAUAAGGCGGAGUGUUGUCCUUUAUGUAGGGCUCAUAUAAACACCUCCUAAUAAGUGGACCAUAAAGAAUUUCAAAUGUUAGUUUUCAACUAAAUUUCAGUUAAUGUACAUUUACACGCUGCGAUUUGUUGUGUUACGAUUCAUAUUUUGGCAUAUGAAAAUUACUGAAGACGCCACAAUCCCUCUUCGUUUAGUUUACAGCGAAAUAUGAAAUGCAAUUACUUUACGCGUACUUUAUUCGACUACAUACGCCAGAAUACAAAUUGUACACAACAAAUCGCAGCAUUUAAACGUACUUUUACUACGUCAAAUAUCCAUAAGAUCAUGUUGAUUCGAUCAUAUCGUUAGUCAGUUAAUUAAAAAAAGAUUUUGUCCCUUGUCAUUCAAGUCGGGUUUCCAUAUUGUCGUAAAGAUAAAGUCACGAUAUUUUUCAACAGCCAGAUUAUAAUAGUUUUUAC